UUAUGUACAAGUGAUUAGGGGAGAGACCAUGAUCAUGAAGGUGGUUCUUCCAGGACGAGGCUAGCCCAUUGCACUUUGGGUGUGCUGAAGCCUGCGAUGUCUCCAAAUGCAGGAUACUCGACUGCAAAAUUUGUAGUAGUGGGGGACUAUGUUCGCGCUCUCCCCUG